GAGAAACCCUAAUACACACAGCCUUCUUGCUUAUAUAAUGCAUAAGCUAGACCUCGUACUCGAAGACGCGGCGGCGUAGAAAACCUCUCAGCUUCCCGAGGUGAGUAAAAAUGGCCGUGCCGUUGCUGUCGAAGAAGAUUGUGAAAAAGAGGGUUAAGAAGUUCAAGAGGCCACAGAGUGAUCGCAAGAUCUCUGUCAAGGUAUAUAUUAGUUAGUUUCAGAGAAUAAUCGCUGAAGAGCUUGGCAUAAUGUCUAGAUCCUCUGUUUUGUUCGUUUAAUUUGCUUAAACUUGGUUUUACUAGGGAAAUGAUGAUAUAUUUUGUCGCCCCAGUCUUACUUGCAUAUGUUGAUGCAAGUUGGUGAUUGACAUUUUUAUCUGAUUCCUAAAUCUAUGUAUCUUUCUGUCCAGGUGUAUUUAUGUACAUGAUACAAUGCCUCUAAUGUUUUUCCAAUUUCAUUUUUAUCAAAUUCAUCGUAAUUUUUGUUUUCCCAAUUGGGUUUAGUUUUGAUGUGAUGAUAAGCAAUUGACACCCUGUCUCACUUGUAUCUUUUGAUGCAGUAUGGUGAGCCAUUGAUCGACUAUCUGAUCCUCUUUGGCUAAAAGAAAUCCAAAUAAAAUGGAAUUGUUCUAUUCAUGUGUACGUGUAUGCAUUUGUGUGGUGUUAUCUGUGUCUUACUGUCUCUGUUUAUUCUACCAAGACUUUCAAGGGAUAUGAUGAUGCUUUUUGACACCCAGUCUUACUUCCAUCUCUUGAUUGAAGGUGGUGAUAAAGAUCGACCUUUUAUCUGAUCCCUAUUAGUUGAAAUAAGAAUUUUUUUUUUUUAUUUUUGUUUUGCGUGUGUGCAUUUGUCAUUUUUAUUUUCCAUAAUGGGAUUUGUCAUGUGUAAUUUGUUCAACUGGGGAUAAGAAGAAGUUGUUUGAUACCCAGUCUUGUUUCCUUGUAGAAGCUGGUGAGAUAUCUUUCUUAACUGGUCCUCUAUAGCUAUUUAUUAGCUCUAUUUCUUUUUCCUUUUUGGUGUGUGGGGUGCAAUCAUUUUUAAAAUUAACAAACGGAUAUAUGCAAUGAGGUGUGAUGAUACUUAUCCACC
rnacentral:misc_RNA from 1 species